CCUGAGGAGCCAGGAAAUAAUGUCUGAGCCUAGAGGGACAGCAACGAUGGAACCUCCAAAGAGGCGAGAGAUGGAGAGAUUAGAGCAAGAAACGAAGCCAGCGGAUGCUGCCAGUUCCCAUCACCUAAUCAAAGCUGCUCCGUGGAAGGGCCGCCUCGUUAUUACAUCCCAUUAUAGCCUCCGGCAGCGGCUGUACUUCAUAACCGCCCAGGAAAGCUGACAGUGGUGCUUUCAUUCCCUGUGUGUGAAACGUGCUGAAUCCUGUUGUGGUAACCACAGAGAAAACCCAAAAAAAGGAUUUUACAAUGUAAGGCAAUUACUGAGCUGAACAGCGUUCCCUAAGAAGAUUAUAAUUCUGCAUCCAGUGUGGACCAAGGGCAUCCCAAUUGGGCUGCAGCAGCUCUCUGGUGUAUUGGAAUCCAACCAGGUCGUUAGUGGUGUUGCAGCAUUAAUUACUAUGAAAGCAAAAGGUUAAUUUGAAGUUUUGUGGGUUGCAGAAGGUACUGGGGAGAGCGAAGCCUUUAAUUUUGUGCCAUUGUAUAGAUGAAAUAGGAAAAUGUAUUUUUGCAGGAAUGGUUGGUGGAAAUGGUUGGACGUGCUGGGAACAAGGAGAUGCAGGGUCUGUGAACCCCACUGCUUUCUGGAAGAUAAAAUAAAAACAAAACUCUGUAUUUCUUGUACUUUUUUUCAUGGUGUAUCCUGGAUUUUAAAAAAAAGGCAGGAAGGAUGGAGACUUGUCAAAAUGAAUUAUUAACGAGGUCAUACUUCACACUUCCUUCCAGUCUGAGGAAGCAAAGCAUGUCCUUUGCUAUGAUAUAGCCACUUUUUUAUCUCUUUUUUCAUUCCAAAGAAGCAUUUUCAACCAGUGGGCAUCCAGUUAUUUUUCUGCAGUAACUCAGGUGUCUUCAGCUUUCUGCCACAAAUCUUCAGAGAACCGUCAGAAUCAAUAGAUAGUGUUUGUUUAUUUUGAUACAGCAAAGCAAGAGAGGAAGAAACAAUCAGACAGGUGAGGGAAAACAGGAGCUUUGGCAUAUUUUGUUUAUAUAGAGUUGUUUGGCUUGUUUUGGAAAAAAUAAAAUGAAGGCGCCCAUCAGAUUGGAUUCAGAUUUCCAGCACGGAUUCCAAAGGCACACGAUGCUCCUGAGCACAAAGGCUGCCUUUCACACACAUCUCAAAGGGAAGAUUUGUGCUUUUCUUGCCAGCACUCCCCGAGGAAUAUUU